AGCCAAGCAAGAUGAAGUACAGGUGG
rnacentral:piRNA from 1 species